GAUGAACGCUGGCGGCGUGCCUAAUACAUGCAAGUCGAGCGAACAGACGAGGAGCUUGCUCCUCUGACGUUAGCGGCGGACGGGUGAGUAACACGUGGAUAACCUACCUAUAAGACUGGGAUAACUUCGGGAAACCGGAGCUAAUACCGGAUAAUAUAUUGAACCGCAUGGUUCAAUAGUGAAAGACGGUUUUGCUGUCACUUAUAGAUGGAUCCGCGCCGCAUUAGCUAGUUGGUAAGGUAACGGCUUACCAAGGCAACGAUGCGUAGCCGACCUGAGAGGGUGAUCGGCCACAAUGGAACUGAGACAAGGUCCAGACUCCUAAGGGAGGCAGCAGUAGGGAAUCUUCCGCAAUGGGCGAAAGCUUGAAGGAGCAACGCCGCGUGAGUGAUGAAGGUCUUCGGAUCGUAAAACUCUGUUAUUAGGGAAGAACAAAUGUGUAAGUAACUAUGCACGUCUUGACGGUACCUAAUCAGAAAGCCACGGCUAACUACGUG
rnacentral:rRNA from 1 species